AGCGAACGCUGGCGGCAGGCCUAACACAUGCAAGUCGAACGAACCUUUCGGGGUUAGUGGCGGACGGGUGAGUAACACGUGGGAACGUGCCUUUAGGUUCGGAAUAACUCAGGGAAACUUGUGCUAAUACCGAAUGUGCCCUUCGGGGGAAAGAUUUAUCGCCUUUAGAGCGGCCCGCGUCUGAUUAGCUAGUUGGUUGAGGUAAUGGCUCACCAAGGCGACGAUCAGUAGCUGGUCUGAGAGGAUGAUCAGCCACAUUGGGACUGAGACACGGCCCAAACUCCUACGGGAAGAAGCAGUGGGGAAUCUUGCGCAAUGGGCGAAAGCCUGACGCAGCCAUGCCGCGUGAAUGAUGAAGGUCUUAGGAUUGUAAAAUUCUUUCACCGGGGACGAUAAUGACGGUACCCGGAGAAGAAGCCCCGGCUAACUUCGUG
rnacentral:rRNA from 1 species